rnacentral:rRNA from 1 species
CCUACGGGUGGCAGCAGUCGAGAAUCAUUCACAAUGGGGGAAACCCUGAUGGUGCGACGCCGCGUGGGGGAAUGAAGGUCUUCGGAUUGUAAACCCCUGUCAUGUGGGAGCAAAUUAAAAAGAUAGUACCACAAGAGGAAGAGACGGCUAACUCUGUGCCAGCAGCCGCGGUAAUACAGAGGUCUCAAGCAUUGUUCGGAAUCACUGGGCGUAAGGCGUGCGUAGGCUGUUUCGUAAGUCGUGUGUGAACGUCGCGGGCUCAACCCGCGGACGGCACAUGAUACUGCGAGACUAGAGUAAUGGAGGGGGAACCGGAAUUCUCGGUGUAGCAGUGAAAUGCGUAGAUAUCGAGAGGAACACUCGUGGCGAAGGCGGGUUCCUGGACAUUAACUGACGCUGAGGCACGAAGGCCAGGGGAGCGAAAGGGAUUAGAUACCCUUGUAGUC